UAACUUCGACUGGUUAGUCAUAUCUACAACAUUACGUCAUAGGUUUUUCUUACCUCGGGAUAGAUUUGUUUACAAAUUGUCCUGUCAACAACAGAUAUUUAAGAGCGCUGCAUCUUAGGUACUUAAACAGACAUGUCAGUAUCACCUCGCGCUAUGGACUACAGAAAUCGUAAUGUUGCUUUGAGUAAUAAUAAUAAUCAUCACAACAACUCGAUUGGUUUAAACGACAGAGUGGGCCGCAAUGACAGAAACACAUAUAAUUUUUACGGGGAUAACACACAAAUCGCUGUAAAUAUUACCCGUGACGUGAACGAUUUACUAGGUUCAGAAGAUACGGAUGAUCUCCAAGAUGGCUGUACAGGAAACAGUUUUAAUUUUCGCGGCGAUUUCAACCAAGUCGGUGUACAUAAUAGCAUGACACAUGACCACAACAAUUUAAAAGGUUUAACAGACGAAGUUGAUGAACUAGGCCAACAAGUGAAAGAGAACAAAGAGGACAUUGCUGAUUUAAGUGAUCGCGUCGAAGAUAUGGAGCGAGAAGAACUUAAAGCUCUUAAAAAAAGAAUGUCUCAAUUAGAAGAAUCGUUCAGAAAUCGUGAAAAGAAAACAAUUAAUAGAGACGAAGAGAAACCAAUUAGAAUAGGCAUACAGGGGCCAAGCUGGCGGGAUGUGAUGGAACCGCUUACAGUGGACCCAAAUAUCACAGUUGGUGAACUUGAGGAGCUCCUGAACGAACGCCUUAAAAGGACUGAUGUGUUUAUUUUCUGUAUAGAAAUGGGAAAGGGUAAUAAAAGACCAUGGUUUGAAUUAAAAACACAUAAAACGUUAAAAUUUCAUAACGUUAAGGAUGGUCAUACCAUCCAUAUAAAUUACAGAAAUACAGGUCGUUCUUGCUAGAUCAACAUCAUGAAAAAGAUUUUAAUAUAUUUAAUCCAAAAAAAAGGUUAUAUGAUAAGUGUAUGUAUUGCGAAAUAUCAACGUUAUAGAUAAUCUACCUGUGUUCGAUUCAAUCGGAUUUAAAAACAGGCCUAUCAAUUUGAUUCACAACAAAUAAAAGGAGCAGCGUUGAUCGAUGUAAUUUUCAAUACGUCAUUUAUUUGUAAAUACUGAACGAAAUUGACACAUUUUAGACUGAUAUUACAGAUUCAAGAUUCAAAUUUCACAAUAUUUUAGUCUGUACAAGAUUCCUAUAGUGCUAAAAUCACACAUAGAGUCUUUAAAUUAUUCAACGAUUAAACAUCAUACUAAGAUAUGGUGGCCAUUCAGUGCAGAGAUCUAUUCUGUAGAUGGUUCUCUGCGUGCAGAAUGAUUAAACACUAGUCUAUGAAUCCAACUGUGAUUGAAUGAAUCGAAUUUCUUUAUGAUUCUCUGUUAAUUUAAAAUUCUCUGUACAUAGUUAUCUCCAUCCAAAGUUUAAUUAUAAAUAUAUUUACAUAGUUAUCCCCAAAGUUUAAUUAUAAAUAUAUGCACAUAGUUAUCUCCAAAGGUUAAGUUUAAUUAUAAAUUUAUGUAGUUAGUUAUCUCCAAAGUUUAAGUUUAAUUAUAAAUUUAUGUAGUUAGUUAUCUCCAAAGUUUAAGUUUAAUUAUAAAUUUAUGUACAUAGUUUAAGUUUAAUUAUAAAUUUAUGUAGUUAGUUAUCUCCAAAGUUUAAGAUUAAUUAUAAAUAUAUGUACAUAGUUUAAGUUUAAUUAUAAAUUUAUUGAAAAUAGUUAUCUCCAAAGUUUAGGUUUAAUGAUAAAUAUAUCUACAUAGUUUUAUCCAAAGUUUAAGUUUAACGAUAAAUUUGUGUACAUAUAUUUUUUAAGUUUAAGUUUAAUGAUAAAUUCAUGUAAAUAUCUCCAAAAUUUAAGUUUCAUCAUAAAUUUAUGUAAAAGAUUGUAAUAUAGUUUUCUACAAAGUUUAAGUUUUGUGAUAAAUGUAUAGAUUUUCCCGGUGCAAUGAUGAACUUAUAUGGUAAUAAAAUGGGGUAAUUUUUACAUGUUUUGGCAAAUUGUCAGGGUCAAGUUAUGUUGUCAAUAAAUUAUUUAUUAAAUAAA